GACGAACGCUGGCGGCGUGCCUAAUACAUGCAAGUUGAGCGCUGAAGGUUGGUACUUGUACCAACUGGAUGAGCAGCGAACGGGUGAGUAACGCGUGGGGAAUCUGCCUUUGAGCGGGGGACCACAUUUGGAAACGAAUGCUAAUACCGCAUAAAAACUUUAAACACAAGUUUUAAGUUUGAAAGAUGCAAUUGCAUCACUCAAAGAUGAUCCCGCGUUGUAUUAGCUAGUUGGUGAGGUAAAGGCUCACCAAGGCGAUGAUACAUAGCCGACCUGAGAGGGUGAUCGGCCACAUUGGGACUGAGACACGGCCCAAACUCCUACGGGAGGCAGCAGUAGGGAAUCUUCGGCAAUGGACGAAAGUCUGACCGAGCAACGCCGCGUGAGUGAAGAAGGUUUUCGGAUCGUAAAACUCUGUUGGUAGAGAAGAACGUUGGUGAGAGUGGAAAGCUCAUCAAGUGACGGUAACUACCCAGAAAGGGACGGCUAACUACGUG
rnacentral:rRNA from 1 species